GAUGAACGCUGGCGGCGUGCUUAACACAUGCAAGUCGAGCGAGAAGUUUUGAAAAGAUUCUUCGGAUGAAAUUUAAAAUGGAAAGCGGCGGACGGGUGAGUAACGCGUAGGCAACCUGCCCCAUACAAAGGGAUAGCAUUUGGAAACGAAUAUUAAUACCUUAUGAAACUUAACUAGUGCAUGCUAGGUAGGUCAAAGAUUUAUCGGUAUGGGAUGGGCCUGCGUCUGAUUAGCUAGUUGGUGAGGUAACGGCUCACCAAGGCGACGAUCAGUAGCCGACCUGAGAGGGUGAACGGCCACAUUGGAACUGAGACACGGUCCAAACUCCUACGGGAGGCAGCAGUGGGGAAUAUUGCACAAUGGGGGAAACCCUGAUGCAGCAACGCCGCGUGAACGAUGAAGGCCUUUGGGUCGUAAAGUUCUGUUCUAGGUGAUGAAAACUGACAGUAACCUAGGAGAAAGCCCCGGCUAACUCC
rnacentral:rRNA from 1 species